rnacentral:lncRNA from 1 species
AAGUAACUAUAUAUUCUACCUUAAAUUCUAUAAAGUAAUAAUGUGAAAACAGUAAUAAUGAAAAGCAUGAAGGAGCUGUUGGGGUACAGCAAUUCUUAUUACUUAUAUAAUGGAAAGAGAUUUUAAUAUAUAACAGUGACUUUUCUAUAUAGAAACAAUUGCAUUUGAACUGCUAUACCUAAAAAAGUAACCAUACCUUGUACAAACAACACUAUAAAGAAAUUAAAUGAAAACAUUAAUAAUGAACAGCCUGAAGGAGGUGUUGGGGUACGGGUGGGUGUUGAAGGGAAGCUCAUCGUGUGGCCGGUGAGGAGCUGCAGUGCAUGGUGGGCUCUGAGAGCUUCACGACCUUCAUGGGUACGGUGACCACAUCACAGGUACCUGCAGCAUCAAAGGGGUCGUCCAUUCUCAGGAACGACCUCUUUCUGCUCUGCUGCACUUCCAGGUGUUUGGUUUUCUUCUGUCGCUUCCCUGAUGGUCUCUCACUCUCAGCACAUUUCUGCAGAAGAGAGGCAGGUUGGAAGAUCCCCUCUUUGCCUGUGCUUGGCCCGUCAGUCUUGCAGCUUCCUGCAGUCUUCUGCAGUUUGGCAGCCAAACCCGGGGCAGGAGCGCAGCUGGGCUGAGCCUGCUUGCUGCCAUUUGCACUGCUGGAUGGAAGGCCUCCCCGGGGCAGAGACACGGGGAAGAUGGGCAAGGCUUUGCAGGUCUUCUUGGCCUUGUGUGUAAACUCCACCUGGAAUUGGUCGGCAGAGUCCUCAUCCCGGCUGCCAUGGCGUUGCUCUCUCCCAGUACAGUGCUUGCGCUUCAUGCGCAGAGCUGGGCAUGGAUGUGGACUGACAGGGUCUGCUGUCCCAUCUGCUGCUGCAUUGCUGGGAGCUGUUGGU